rnacentral:rRNA from 1 species
UCGAGCGAACAGACGAGGAGCUUGCUCCUCUGACGUUAGCGGCGGACGGGUGAGUAACACGUGGAUAACCUACCUAUAAGACUGGGAUAACUUCGGGAAACCGGAGCUAAUACCGGAUAAUAUAUUGAACCGCAUGGUUCAAUAGUGAAAGACGGUUUUGCUGUCACUUAUAGAUGGAUCCGCGCCGCAUUAGCUAGUUGGUAAGGUAACGGCUUACCAAGGCAACGAUGCGUAGCCGACCUGAGAGGGUGAUCGGCCACACUGGAACUGAGACACGGUCCAGACUCCUACGGGAGGCAGCAGUAGGGAAUCUUCCGCAAUGGGCGAAAGCCUGACGGAGCAACGCCGCGUGAGUGAUGAAGGUCUUCGGAUCGUAAAACUCUGUUAUUAGGGAAGAACAAAUGUGUAAGUAACUAUGCACGUCUUGACGGUACCUAAUCAGAAAGCCACGGCUAACUACGUGCCAGCAGCCGCGGUAAUACGUAGGUGGCAAGCGUUAUCCGGAAUUAUUGGGCGUAAAGCGCGCGUAGGCGGUUUUUUAAGUCUGAUGUGAAAGCCCACGGCUCAACCGUGGAGGGUCAUUGGAAACUGGAAAACUUGAGUGCAGAAGAGGAAAGUGGAAUUCCAUGUGUAGCGGUGAAGUGCGCAGAGAUAUGGAGGAACACCAGUGGCGAAGGCGACUUU